GAAUCCCGUGAACCAUCGAGUCUUUGAACGCAAGUUGCGCCCGAGGGAUCCUCCCGAGGGCACGCCUGCCUCAUGGGCGUUAGAAGCCCAUCCACGCUCUGUUGCCUAUCGGCAAAGAUGCGGACAUUGGCCCUCCGAACCGCGAGGUGCGGUGGGCCUAAGUGUGCGGUCGUCGUAUGUGGCCGGGAGCGGCGAGUGGUGGGCUACUGCGCACGUCACCCCGAGCCCCGUACCGACACAGGGCCUUUUUUCGACCCCUAACGAGGAGAUUGCUGUCGCAGCUUGCGCUGCGCGGCGCCUUCGGACCGAUACCCCAGGUCAGGCGGGGCUACCCGCUGAGUUUAAGCAUAUAAAUAAGCGGAGGAGAAGAAACUUACAAGGAUUCCCCUAGUAACGGCGAGCGAACCGGAGCAGCCCAGCCUUAGAAUCGCGGUGGCACUGCCGCCCGA
rnacentral:rRNA from 1 species